ACUGUCUUUCUCUUGUGUCGCCCUCGCUCUGCUUCCUUCUAUUUUUUUAAUCUCAUAUAAUUCAAUCUUUCAAAACCCUACAAUCGUUUCCCAAGCUCGGCCUUCUUCACCCAAACAACAUAAUCAAUUCAAAGAGAGGGAUUAGCUAUUAAAUCUAUCCAGGAUCUCCGGAUGAUUGAUUUCGCUGCUGGGUUUUGGAAAGAUGCAGAUGUUGUUGAAUUAAUGUGCACUUACAACAGCUGAUAAACUCAACAUCAGUUUAAUCUUCUAUUAUCUUAGAUGGAUCGACAUGACACUUCAGGAUUUGUCAGCGGGGGGUGUGUUAUAUUCUUGUAGAUGCAUCUAACCCUAAUUUUGGAGAUAUACAACUCUUUUUUAUGUGGAAGUCAGCCGGCUGUUCUGUUGAGAUUUAUAGAUAGGUUUAGAUUGUUACUGCUAUUGUUUCAUGGACGCAAUGUUCCAGAACUUGACUUUCGCAGCUAAUCAUUCUGCAAAUGCAUUCAAGAUUUUGGGCAAAUCUAUGCAAGUUGAAGGAAGAGGAGCCGAUUAUAGUACAGAUACUAUCUUACGACUUGAUUCCCCUGGUUCUUCAAUUUCCUAUAUGCUCUCCUCUAAGGGAACAAAAAGGAAGUGGGAUUUAAUUGAUGGAUGCAUUGGUAAGAGAGAUGGCUCUUCUUUGUCUCUUGGGCUUGGAUGUUCAACAAGUUCCUCAGACAGCAAGGGGAGUUCAGCUACUGCUUGUACUGCUAUGUCUUCAGCCAAAGAGAUUGAUGAGGAAUCGUCUAUGGAUAUUGAACUGGACUUUACACUUCAUCUUGGCUAUGAGAAGGUACAGUGCCUGAAAAAACCUUCUAGUUCAAAUUUGAAGACAUUUGAGUCGAAGCCCAAGGUUGAUUUGGAGUUGAGCCUUUCCAAUGGGCCCUCUGAAUCUGAUAUUACUAGUGUUCAUCUAAGUCCCUCCCAGGACUCACCUCUUCAAUUGAACACGGAGAUACCAUUAGUAUUCAGCAGGACACCAAAUACAGAUGAGGGAUCAACUUCAUGUGGUUGGAGAUCAGGGCCUGUUUUCCCAUUGUUAAGGACUGCACUUAAUACAAACACUGGUGUUAUGUUAAACCAGGCUGCCAAAAAGUUUGAUCAUAAUCCCGUUGUUCUGGAUCUCCCAUCAACCAGAUCAAAAAGUUCAGUCACCUGUACUUCUGCGCUAACACAACAGCAACAACCACCACAUCGCAACAGUAAUUCUAAGACAUGUCAAAUUGAGGGCUGUGGAAAGGGAGCCAGAGGUGCUUCUGGACGUUGUAUAUCUCAUGGUGGUGGUCGGAGGUGUCAGAAGCAUGACUGCCAUAAAGGAGCUGAAGGUCGGACUGUGUACUGCAAGGCUCAUGGAGGUGGCAGGCGAUGUGAAUAUCUUGGUUGCACUAAGAGUGCAGAAGGACGUACAGAUUUCUGUAUUGCCCAUGGUGGUGGCCAGAGAUGCAGUCAUGAGGGUUGUAUCCGAGCUGCCAGAGGGAAAUCCGGAUUGUGUAUUCGGCAUGGUGGUGGCAAGAGAUGUCAGAGAGAAAAUUGUACUAAGAGUGCGGAAGGCCUAUCAGGUCUUUGCAUCUCACAUGGUGGGGGGCGUCGAUGUCAAGCUUCUGGAUGCACAAAAGGGGCACAGGGGAGCACCAUGUUCUGCAAAGCACAUGGUGGGGGGAAACGGUGUAUAGCACCAGGGUGCACCAAGGGUGCGGAGGGGACAACGCCCUUUUGCAAGGGCCAUGGUGGAGGAAAACGCUGUGCAUACCAGGGUAGUGGAAUUUGUGCUAAAAGUGUGCAUGGAGGUACCGACUUCUGUGUGGCACAUGGCGGUGGAAAGAGGUGUGUUGUACCUGACUGCACGAAGAGUGCUAGAGGACGGACUAAUUAUUGUGUCCGUCAUGGGGGAGGCAAGAGAUGCAAGUUUGAAGGGUGUGGAAAGAGUGCACAAGGUAGCACUGACUUUUGCAAGGCACAUGGGGGAGGAAAGAGAUGCUCUUGGGGCCAUCCUGGGUCUGAAAAUAGCAAACAACAGGGUGGUCCUUGUAAUUCAUUUGCAAGGGGGAAGACAGGUCUGUGUCAACAUCAUAGUGGGCUACUGCAGGAUAACAGAGUUCGUGGAGGUGUAUCCUUGGGAUCAGUUGUUCAGAGUACUCAUGCUUGCAAACCAGAUGAACUGAAGCAGAUACACAUUCACAAAGACAUGGAUGUGGAUAUGAUGAAAAUGGAUAAUAGCCCAGGCCCAGCUUGUAAAAUAACUUGUUCUGAUUUUAAACUUAGUGAAGUUGCUAGUACUCAUGUCCCAGCUGGGGAAGAUGACCACGCACCAGUAUCAGUUGCUGUUCCUGAAGGCAGGGUGCAUGGUGGGAGUCUAAUGGCAAUGCUGAAGGGGAGUUCUGGCCUUGGUUCAAGCAGCGGGAGAGGCCUAGUUAGUGAUCCAUCUGAACCAAUUAAAGCUUGCAUUGUGCCCCACAGUUGGAUUUGAAGCUAGUUAUUAUUGCUUUUGCUGUCAUGCUCUCCCUUGGUUGUAAAUUAUAUCAGCAUGUUUACUUCCUUCGAUGUUCGAUUGUUGAUGAUUAGAGUCAUUCUCUGAUUGCAUUCAUCCCUUAAAAUCGAGAGAUUACGUAAGUUGUUCGACAUUCUCAUGGAGAGGCUAUCAAAGCAGCUCAUUGUACUUUGAUUAGGUAAUUGGUGUUUUCUUUCUUUCCUCAUUCCUCCCCCAUCUGUAAAUAUUAUAAUCUGAUAAAAUAUCUAGCAGGUUGUGACUGCAGGUCUGUUAGUGUGCCUUGUAUAUGUUGUUAUAGCGCUUAUGUUAUUUUAGUUCAUGGUUAUUCUUUGGUAACUGCUUGACAGUCUACCUAGGCUGUGGUUCCUCCCCUUUGACAAUUUCUAUUGUUAUCAUAUAUUCUAAUAAGAUUGUGUUGUUUGUUUUCUGUGUUUUCCUGUAAUUCCCUUGAGAUAAGUUUUUGUUGUUUAAUUCUUAAGUUAAUCACUUUUUUUAAGCGGAAAAUGAAAGUUAUUUGUAAUUGUACUGUUGGGGGUACAUUACGAUAUUAAGAUCAGCAAUGUGACUUGGGACCACCUCUAGAUGCACCUAUAUAUAAGUAAAAUUGCCUGACAAACAUAAAUGGCAUUGUUAAUUGAUAAUAUUUAUCUGACAUAUACAUUAAUAUGCUUUAAUUUAAAAUUUUCAUCCAUGUGUGAUGUAUAGAUUCACCAAUAGAAUUUAGGGUCUAUUUGGUGUACUAGAUAAGACUGAUAGGAUGGGAUAGUUUAUCAUAUCCUAUCCUUAUCAUAUGUUUGGUGAUCCAAUGGGAUAGGAUAACCUUAUCAGGUUCAUUCGUUUUAUCCUAUUGACAACCUGAUAAACUAUCUUGAGGGGGACCAUGGGUUACAAUCCUAACGGAUAGGAUAAGAAAAAAUAAAAAAAUUUAUUCCAAGAUAGCCCCUUGCUUCCUCCUCUACCCUGGUCAACUCCCACGCCAACCUUGUCACCGAACAGUCUCGGUCACCAUUGACGGGCUCCGCUUCCGGUUAGCCCGGCCACUAGAACACCUCUCCGGUGUUGGAAACAUCUUUGGAAAAUGGCACCAUUUCACACCCACUACAUCUUUGGAGAUGGAGACAUUGCCGACAACAUCGACGAUGAAAUGAGGAGGGAGAUCAAAGGGCAUUCAGACCUCGAAGCAUUUCUAUGUCAUGGCCUUCUUCACUUCCCCGUUGCUUGGCUUUACGUCGACGGCAGGUUAUGGAAGGAUGCAGAGAUCCGAAUUUCACUUGCUAGUCUUCUGAAGAAGAAUUCAGCUCAGGUUUUUUUAAAAAAAUAAAAAUAAAAAUCGAAGUCCUUUCUUUUCUUUCAUUUUUAGCUUCUGAUUUGUUGCUACAGGUAGAAUCCUUAUGAUAUAUGAACUUACUGCCUGUGAAACUAAGGUCUAAUUUGUCUUUGAGGGUUCAGUAGAAUAUGUGUUUAUAUGAUGGUGUUUGUUCAUAUACUCUCUUAACAGGUUAGUCCUAUUAAAUAUGGCCAUGUGCUGCUGAUUCAUUGUAUUUUCGAGUGUUUGCCCCAAAGGAUUGAUUCAAGGAUAUGUGAGCUCUGGAAGAGAUGUGAGCUGUUAUAUGUGUUCAUUUGCCUGUUAGUAAGGGUGGAACUAGUAUCUAUGGUUCUAAUUUUAAAGAUGAGAGUUUUGCCUGUAUGUCUCUAUUGCUGGUUGGAUAGUAAUAUUUAGUUCUAAUUUUUUAAUAGUGAUUGGUAUUCAAAGUUCAGCUUCAAUCAUUGUUCCAAUAUUAAAUAGUUUAGUUAAUCUUCUGACAUUUCUAGUUUCAACACUUUCCUUGCAGUGAAGCAUAUUGGUCCUAGAGUUUUGAGCAUGGCAAAUGCGGGUCCUAAUACCAAAUGGUAGUCAGUUCUUUAGGAGCUGAUGAUCAACCAGAUAUCUUCAGCUGGGACAACAAAUAUGCUGGUGCACGUCCUUCUCUCAAGGGUGAAUUGCUCAUGUGCCAGCAUUGAAAAAUAUGAAGAGCCAAUUUGUUUUUCUGAUUCAUUGGGUUUCCAUUAUCCUUUUUGAUUGGCAGAGAGCAUUACUGAAUGGUGAUAAGAAACAAGCUGAGAAUUUCAUGUGCAAGAUCUUGCCCAACUCUCCCUUUUUGGCUGAAUAACUAUAAUUUGAUGCUGAUGUCUUUAGUAUUGUCCAAGGUGUUUCUGUGGUUUGGCAGAAGCAACAAGUUAUUGAUAACUAAUCAGCCUUUAGACUAGUGAGGUUGCCAAGGCAUUCUCAGUUAUAUUCAUGGGGGAAGGAUUCCCAUGUUCAAAUUUGUAUUGAUUUUCUCAUUUUCUGGUGAGAUUAUGUGAGAAAUAGGUCUUAUGUAAGAUUUAGGGAAAGUACUGAAAUGAAAGGCUUCUGGCCUUUGUGGAAAGGUAUUUAUCCUUCCUAGAAAAAACGUUUUACUUAAGUGUAUUGGCAUUUGGCAAUUCAGUAAGUUAUCAUAAACUUGUUUGAUAAUUUAGAAGGGUAUUACAUCUCUUAUGUCACAGGAGAUUUUCGAAUUUUGCAGCAGAUAGAUACACAGGGGAGUCCACACUUUUACAAAAACAAAUAGAAAAUUGAAACACUCAUCUCGAUGUCUCAGCGGUAGGAGAGAUGUUUUUCCUGUGAAAUGAGAAUUGUAAACCCCAAUUUAGAAUCCAACUUA